CGGGAUAGACUGCUUGUAGUAGAAGUUCGACUGAGAUUCGGAAGGCGGUCGAUCACCGUAAAAACUUGGAUGGGGUCUGAUUACUGUAGAAGUCCUGCUACUGGAGAAGCUCGGUCAUUGACGAAGUCCGAAAGAAGUUUGGAGUAAAGUCGAUUACUGUAGAAAAUCAGCUGGUAGUGAAGCCCAGAGAGCAUUUGGAGCAGCUCGGUAGAUGAAUGGAGGAGCUCAUUAUUGGAGAAGUUCGGAUGGCACGAUAGGAGUUCGUCCGUUGGAGGAAUCUGAAGGACACAGUGGAAGGUCGAACGUUGAAGGAGCCCGGAUGGUACUGUGGAAGCUCGGACAGCCGGAGAGGUUCAAAAAGAUGCCGCACA
rnacentral:lncRNA from 1 species